CGAGCGGACAGAAGGGAGCUUGCUCCCGGAUGUUAGCGGCGGACGGGUGAGUAACACGUGGGUAACCUGCCUGUAAGACUGGGAUAACUCCGGGAAACCGGAGCUAAUACCGGAUAGUUCCUUGAACCGCAUGGUUCAAGGAUGAAAGACGGUUUCGGCUGUCACUUACAGAUGGACCCGCGGCGCAUUAGCUAGUUGGUGAGGUAACGGCUCACCAAGGCGACGAUGCGUAGCCGACCUGAGAGGGUGAUCGGCCACACUGGGACUGAGACACGGCCCAGACUCCUACGGGAGGCAGCAGUAGGGAAUCUUCCGCAAUGGACGAAAGUCUGACGGAGCAACGCCGCGUGAGUGAUGAAGGUUUUCGGAUCGUAAAGCUCUGUUGUUAGGGAAGAACAAGUGCAAGAGUAACUGCUUGCACCUUGACGGUACCUAACCAGAAAGCCACGGCUAACUACGUGCCAGCAGCCGCGGUAAUACGUAGGUGGCAAGCGUUGUCCGGAAUUAUUGGGCGUAAAGGGCUCGCAGGCGGUUUCUUAAGUCUGAUGUGAAAGCCCCCGGCUCAACCGGGGAGGGUCAUUGGAAACUGGGAAACUUGAGUGCAGAAGAGGAGAGUGGAAUUCCACGUGUAGCGGUGAAAUGCGUAGAGAUGUGGAGGAACACCAGUGGCGAAGGCGACUCUCUGGUCUGUAACUGACGCUGAGGAGCGAAAGCGUGGGGAGCGAACAGGAUUAGAUACCCUGGUAGUCCACGCCGUAAACGAUGAGUGCUAAGUGUUAGGGGGUUUCCGCCCCUUAGUGCUGCAGCUAACGCAUUAAGCACUCCGCCUGGGGAGUACGGUCGCAA
rnacentral:rRNA from 1 species